GUUCAACACCUGCCUAUAAGUGAUAACAUUCGGUGUUUGGUUUUCUGUUCUUGUGUCAGUUUGCUGAAAAUUAUGGUUUCCGUAUUCAUCCAUGUCCCUAUGAAGGACAUGAACUUAUCAUUUUUAUGGCUGUGUAGCAUUCCAUGGUGUAUAUGUGCCAUAUUUUCUUUAUCCAGUCUAUCAUUGAUGGGCAUUUGGGUUGGUUCCAGGUCUUUAGUAUUGUAAACAGUGCCGAAAUGGACAUAGGUGUGCAUGUGUCUUUAAAAUAGAACAAUUUAUAAUUCUUUGGAUAUAUACCCAGUAAUGGGAUUGCUGGAUCAUAUGAUAUUUCUGUUUCUAGUUCCUUGAGGAAUCACCACACUGUCUUCCAUAUGGUUGAACUAAUUUACACUCCCACCAGCAGUGUAAAAGUGUUCCUAUUUCUCCCCAUCCUCUCCAGCAUCUGUUGUCUCCAGAUUUUUUAAUGACUGCCAUUCUAACUGGAGUGAGAUGGUAUCUCGAUGUGGUUUUGAUUUGCAUUUCUCUAAUAACCAGUGAUGAUGAGCAUUUUCCCAUAUGUUUGUUGGCUUCAUAUAUUGUCUUCUUUUGUAAGUGUCUAUUCAUAUCCUUUGCCCACUUUUGAGUGGGUUUUUUUGUGUGUGUGUGUAAAUCUGUUUUAGUUCUUUGUAGAUUCUGAAUAUUAGCCCUUUGUCAGAUGGGGAGAUUGCAAAAAUUUUUCCCAUUCUGUUGGUUGCCGGUUCUCUCUAAUGAUUGUUUCUUUUUUGCUGUACAGAAGCUCUGGAGUUUAAUUAGAUCCCAUUUGUGUAUUUUGGCUUUUGUUUCCAUUGCUUUUGGUGUUUUAGCCAUGAAAUCCUUGCCUAUGCCUAUGUCCUGAAUGGUUUUGCCUAGGUUUUCUUCUAGGGUGUUUUAUGCUGUUAGGUCUUAUGUUUAGAUCUUUAAUCCAUCUGUAGUUAGUUUUAGUGUAAGGUCUCAGGAAGGGCUCAUUUCUGCUUUUUGCCCAUGGCUAGCUAGUUUUCCCAACACUAUUUAUUAAACAGGGAAUGCGUUCCCCAUUGCUUGUUUUUCUCAGGUUUGUCAAAGAUCAGAUGAUUGUAGAUGUGUGGUGUUGCUUCUGAGGCCUCUGUUCUGUUUCAUUGGUCUAUGUCUGUUUUGGUACCAGUACCAUGCUGUUUUGAUUACUGUGUCCUCGUAUAGUUUGAAGUCAGGCACCAUGAUGCCUCCAGCUUUGUUCUUUUUGCUUAGGAUUGUGUUGGCUGUGUGGGCUCUCGUUUGGGUCCAUAUGAAAUCUAAAGUGGUUUUUUCCAAUUCCGUGAAGAAGGUCACUGGUAGCUUGAUCAGGACAGCAUUGAAUCUGUAAAUUACUCUGGGCAGUAUGGCCAUUUUCAUGAUGUUGAUUCUUCCCAACCAUGAGCAUGGGAUGUUUUUCCAUCUGUUUGUGUUUUCUCUCAUUUCACUGAGCAGUGGUUUGUAGUUCUCCUUGAAGAGUCCUUCACAUCCUUUGUUAGGUGUAUUCCUAGGUAUUUUAUUCUCUUUGUAGCAAUUGUGAAUGGGAGUUCACUUUGGAUUUGGCUCUCUGUUUGUCUGUUAUUAGUGUAUAGAAAUACUUGUGAUUUCUGCACAUUGGUUUUGUAUCCUGAGACUUUGCUGAAUUUGCUUAUUCAGUUUCAGAAGAUUUUGGGCUGAGAUAAUGGGGUCUUCUAAAUAUACAAUCAUGUUAUCUGCAAAUAGAGACAAUUUCACUUACACUUUUCCUAAUUGAAUGUUCUUUAUUUCUGUUUCUUGCAUGAUUGCUCUGGUUAGAACUUUCAUACCAUAUUGAAUAGGAGUGGUGAGAGAGGGCAUCCUUGUCUUGUGCCAGUUUUCAAAGGGAAUGCUUCCAGUUUUUGACCAUUCAGUAUCAUAUUGGCUGUGGGUUUGUCAUAAAUAACUUUUAUUAUUUUGUGAUACGUACCAUUGAUACCUAGUUUAUUGAGGGUUUUUAGCAUAAAGGGCUGUUGAAUUUUGUCGAAGGCCUUCUCUGCAUCUAUUGAGAUAAUCAUGUGGUUUUUGUCUUUGGUUCUGUUUAUGUGAUGGAUUACGUUUAUAGACUUGUGUAUGUUGAACAAGCCUCGCAUCCCUGGGAUAAAGCCUACUUGAUCCGGAUGAAUAAGCUUUUUGGUAUGCUGUUGCAUUCUGUUUGCCAGUAUUUCAUUGAAGAUUUUUGCAUCGAUGUUUAUAAUGAAUAUUGGCCUGAAGUUUUCUUUUUUAGUUGCCCCUCUGCCCGGUUUUGGUAUUAGGUGAUGUUGGUCUGAUAAAACGAGUUGGAGAGGAUUCCCUCUGUUUGUAUUGUUUGGAAUAGGUUCAGAAGGAAUGGUAACAGCUCCUCUUUGUACAUCUGGUAGAAAUCGGCUGUAAAUCCGUCUGGACCUGGGCUCUUUUUAGUGGGUAGGCUAUUAAUUACUGCCUCAACUUCAGCCUUUGUUAUUGGUCUAUUCAGGGAUUCAACUUCUUCCUGGUUUAGUCUUGGGAGAGUGCAAGUGUCCAGGAAUUUAUCUACUUCUUCCAGAUUUACUGGUUUGUGUGCACAGAGUUGUGUGUACUAAUCUCUGAUGGUAGUAUGUAUUUCUAUGGAAUUGGUGGUGAUCUCCCCUUUAUCAUUUUUUAUUGCAUCUAUUUAAUUCUACUCUCUUUUCUUUUUUAUUAGUCUGACUAGUGGUCUACCUAUUUUGUUGAUCUUUUCAAAAAACCAGGUCCUGAAUUUGUUGAUUUUUUUGAAGGGUGUUUUGUAUCUCGAGCUCCUUCAGUUCUGCCCUGACCUUGGUUAUUUAUUGUCUUCUGCUAAUUGACAGAAGACAAUUAGCUUUUGCAUUUGUUGGAUCUUGCUCCCUUUCAAUUUUCAUGCUAGGAUGUUAAUUUUUGACCUUUGUUUGCUCCUCAUGUGGGCUUUUAUUGCUAUGAAUUCCCCUCUAGACACUGCUUUAAAUGUGUCCCAGAGAUUCUGGUACAUUGUGUCUUCAUUGUCAUUGGUUUCAAAGAGCAUCUUUAUUUCUGCCUUCAUUUAUUAUUUAUCUAGUCUGCGUUUAGAAGCCAGUUGUUCAUUUUCCAUGAAGUUGUGCAGUUUUGGUUUCUGAAUCCUGAGUUCUAACUGGAUUGCACUGUGGUCUGAGAGACUGUUAUGAUUUCUGUUCUUUUGCAUUUGCUGAGGAGUGAUUUACUUCCAAUUAUGUGGUCAAUUUUAGAGUAAGUGUGAUGCUGUGCUGAGAAGAAUGUAUAUUCUGUGAAUUUGGGAUUAAUAGUUUUGUAAAUGUCUAUUAAGUUUGCUUCGUCCAGAUCUGCAUUCAGGUCCUGGAUUUCCUCGUUCAUUUUCUAUCUGGUUUAUCUGUUUAAUAUUGACCGUGGAGUGUUGAAGUCUCCCACUAUUAUUGUGCAGGAGUCUAAGUCUUUUUGUAGGUCAUUAAGGACUUGCUUUAUGUAUCUAGGUGCUCCUGUAUUGGGUUUGUGUCUAUUUAUGAUUGUUAGUUCUUCUUGUUCUAUUUAUCCUUUUUACCAUUAUGUAAUGCCCUUCCUUGUCUCUCUUGAUUUUUGUUGGUUUAAAGUCCAUUUUAUCAGAGACUAGGAUUGCCACCCCUGCUUUUUCUUUGUUCUCCAUUUGCUUGGUAAAUCUUCCAUCCCUUUAUUUUUAGUCUACUUGUGUCUGUGCACAUGAGAUGGGUCUCCUAAAUACAGCACACCAGUGGUUCUUGGCUUUUUAUCCAAUUUGCCAGUCUGUGUCUUUUGAUUGAGGCAUUUAGCCCAUUUACAUUUGGUGUUAAUAUUGUUGUGUGUGGAUUUGAUCCUGCCAUUUUAUUACUGGUUGGUUGUUUUGCUCUUUGGUUGGCAUAGUUUUUUCAUUGCAUCAUUGGUCUUUAUUACUUGGUUCUUUUUUGCAGUGGCAGGUACUGGUUUUUCCUUUCUGUGUUUGGUGCUUCCUUCAGGAGCUCUUGAAGGGCAGGUCUGGUAGUAACAAAAUCUCUCAGCAAUUGCUUGUCUGUAAAGCAUUUCAUUUCUCCAUCACUUAUGAAGCUUAGUUUGGCUGGACAUGAAAUUCUGGGUUGAAAGUUCUUUUCUUUAAGGAUGUUGAAUAUUGGCCCCACUUGCUCCUGGCUUGUAGGGUUUCUGCCGAGAGAUCUGCUGUGAGUCUGAUGUGCUUCCCUUUAUGGGUGACUUGACGUUUCUCUCUGGCUGCCCUUAGUAUUUUUUCAUUCAUUUCAACUCUGGCGAACCGGACAAUUAUGUGCCUUGGAGUUGCUCUUCUAGAGGAGUAUCAUUGUGGUGUUAUCUAUAUUUCCUGUGUUUGAAUAUUGGCCUGCCUUGCUGGGUUGGGGAAGUUCUCCUGCAUAGUAUUCUGAAGAGUGUUUUCCAGCUUGGACUCAUUCUCCCUGUCAUCUUCCAGUGCCCCAAUCAUGCGUAGGUCUUUUCAUGUAAUCCAAUAUUUCUUGAACGCUUUGUUCAUUUCUUUUCACUCUUUGUUCUCUUUUCUUGCCUUCUCAUUUUAUUUUAUUGAGUUGAUCUUCAAUCUCUGAUACCCUUUCUUCUGCUUGAUCUAUUAGGAUAUUGAAACUUGUGUAUGCUUCAUGAAGUUCUUGUGCUGUGUCUUUCAGCUCCAUCAAGUCGUUUAUGUUCAUCUCUAAGCUAGUUAUUCUAGUUUUUCAUCUAACCUUUUUCAUGGUUUUUAGAUAGAACAUGUUCCUUUAAGUCAGGGAAGUUUGUUAUUACCCAACUUCUGAAGCCGCCUUCUGUCAGUUUGUCAAAUUCAUUCUCCAUCCAGCUUUGUUCCCUUGUUGGUGAGGAGUCAUUAUCUCAUGGUGGGGGAGAGAUGUUCUGGUUUUUUUGAUGGUUUCAUUCUUCUUGCUCUGGUCUCUCCCCAUUUCUUGGAUUCAUAUGGUUUUGAUCUCAGGUAGCUGCUUGGUGGGGCCGCCUUUCCUUUGCCUGCAGAGGUGCUUCUGGGCUGCCACAGAUUCAGUGGAGCUGCUGCAUUUUUUAUUUACUCAGGAAAAUUAGGCUGGCUUCUGCAGUGGCGGCUUCCCUUCCACCCACUGAACUGGAUUGCUCCUGGUCACUCUCUGGUGUUCUGGGUGCCUAACUCUGGAGUGAGAGUUUUUUGGCCUGCUGGGCCUUGUGUGGUGGGGGGAACCAUCCUGUCAUUUGGGCUGUUUCCCUGCAUUCCAUUCUCCUUCUUACUAGGGGGGGCAGCUAGCUCCAUCCCACUGGCUUUUUAGCUCUCUCAGCAUCAGCCAGUGCUUCUGCCUAGAUCUAUGCUGAAAGCCCCGGCACCCCAAAGUUGCUGUUCUGCCCUGUUCAGGCAGCUCACUAAGGCUUUUAAGCUCAGUGAAGAUCUCCUGUUCUGUGGGUUGUAGAGGGCUUGGGUAGAGCACUGUAUCUGAACCGAAGUCCCAAAGGGGGAGAUCCCCCAGUCUUGGAGAUUGCUGAACUACAUAGAUCUGUAGCCCAGGGCAGAUGCCUCCUCACCGCUGCUUCUUUUCAUAAUUCACUGAUGGCCUUCCGAUGUUCAUGUAGACUGGGUGAGGGGCAUGAUUGACUGGCCAAUCGGUCAUGAAGUUCAGUUGGGUAAUUGGAGGUGUGUCUAUGCUGGGGCAGUUGAUGGAGACUCCAGUUAGCUUGUUAUUCAGGAGCAGGGAUGUAGAGAGCUACUCCUGGUCAUCUGAGGCCAUCCUUUCAGGAAUCUGUGCUUUCAUAGAUUGAAGAUUUGAAGAUUGGAGACUGCCAUGGAGCCCUGCACAAGUGGAAUCUGGAAGGCCAUAGGAAGAAAGAUAUUUAGAUAGUACUUAAGGAAAUAGAGGUACAACUACCAGGACUCUGUUUUUUCAGCAGUCUUUCUUCUUGUAUAUCUGAGUGCCUAUGAAGGUUUUUUUUUUUUUUUUGAGAGGGAGUCUCGCUCCGUCACCCAGGCUGGAGUGCAGUCGCAUGAUCUCAGCUCAUCACAACCUCCGCCUCCAGGGCUCAAGCAAUUCUCCUGCCUUAGCCUCCCUAGUAGCUGAAAAUACAGGUGUUUGUCACCACACCUGGCUAAUGUUUGCAUUAUUAGUGGGGAAAGGGUUUCACCAUGUUGGCCAGGCUGGUCUUGAGCUCCUGAUCUCAAGUGAUCUGCUCACCUCGGCCUCCCAAAGAGCUGGGAUUUUAGGUGUGAGCCACUGCACCCGGCCCUACCUGUGGAAGAUUUAAGGGCUUCCUAGCUAAUGUGCACAUGAAAAAGGUAGGACAUAUAAAGCAUAAUUGAAUUUUUAUUACCACUAAUGUGUUAAUCUUUCUGGGAAGAGUAUUCUCAAAGAGAACAUACAACUUUAUUAUUAGACCUUUGUGUGCUUAGCAUUCACACAUUUCAAAUAUUGCAGGUGAUUCCCUGGACUGUUUUGGGACAAAGAAAAGCAAUGGGACCUUCUUAAGUGGUUUCUGUGCUGAGGAAUAAGACUGCCAAUUUGAAGUGACACAGUUUAGUCUUUUAACCAGAGAUAGAUAAUGGACAAGAGACAGUGGAUCUUUCUACCUUGUUUUAGGUCAUCAGGUUUCUUCCAGUUUAGGUAAUAAAAGUUACGUCAUUUAUUAGUUGAAUUUUAAGUACAAAUUCAGGAUAGAUACUUUGUCAGGGUAAAUUAUCAUCGGGCUCUGGUAUAUAUUGGCUGUAACUAUUUGCAGCUCAAGGUCAGUUUUUAUUGAAUAUUGUGUAUAUUCAGACAGGUAGAGGAAGAAAUAGGUAACCAAAAUAUAUUUUUAGAACAGAGGCCAUAUCUUAAUUAUAUCAAGAAACAUUAUUUAAUGUACAGAUGGCUGACCUUUACCCAGAUUGUGUUUUUGUUUUUUGGAGGGAUGUCGGGGUCCGGCACGUCUGCCGGGGGACUACCGACCCGCGGGAGUCCCCGAGACCGCCAACGUAGAUGUCUCGUUCAACCUGAGAGAGAGAGUGCGCGGAAAAGAAAGAACAUAGAAAAGUAGAGUCUGGAGGGCUGCGUGAAGAUUAUGGCCAAAACGCAGCAAAUUUAUUUUUGUGGGUUACAGCUUUUAUACCUUUUGUCUUGUUUACAUUUACCUCAUCUCAGCAGAAAGAAACAAAGGGGAAAACAGAAAGGAAACAAACUCCAUAAAAUAGAUAUCCGGGGCUUGUGAUAUCCUGCUCAGGAAGCAGUUUAAGGGGGCUAGUGGUAGCAGUUUACAUUUCAAUGAUUUUACAUUCCAAAGAUACAAUGGCGCCCUUAAGGUGGCUGGUUAAACCUGUUUUUCAUCAGGAGCUAAAACAAAGGCUUGGCUCCAGGAAAAUAUGGGCAGAGGUCUCUGCUCCUCUUAGACAUUUCAAUUGCAGCAAGUUUAUUGCUUACACAGAAACUGAAAGGGGACAUGGAAGCAGACAGCACAAUGUCCUCAUAAACUGCAGGCCUUUGCUUUGCAUUCUGUUGUUGCUUUUAGUGAGUCAGCUUACGGCCCUGUCUCACUCGACAGCCCUCGAGGUGAGGAAAUGCAGUACAGGUCCAGCAGCCAAACUGGGACGAGUCAACUAACUGUCUCGAGCUUUUGGCACGAACACCACAGAGGGAGAAGCUGAAUAUGAACUGGCAGUUAAAAAUUUGUAAAGAAAUCGACUUGCUCAUUUUCAUUGUAUGUUUUUGCUCUGAGGUAUUUUCCAUGAACUGUUUGCUGAUCCUUGCCCUGAGCCAGAUGAUGACCACUUGACUGUUGCCACCAAGCAGUGUGUCCCUGAGAAAGUGCCAGAGCCUUUACGUGGACCUGCCAAUGGCAAAACAAAACAAAACAACAAAAACACAGUAUAGUCAAUGCAAAAGAAGGAUUCUGGCCACGGAGGAGGCUGAAUGAGAUGAAAACAGAAAUUACUGGUGUAUACUACUGCUGAAUACAGAUGCUGAAAACAGAUGAAAAAGCAAUGAAAAGAAGAUGCCAAAAAGAACCCUGAAAACCUUAAGUAAUUGUUUUCAUAGCCAAGCAUGAGGACAGCUUGAUAUCAACACUGCACGAAUGUUUGGUUGGCCCUGUCAUACCUACAUAUAAUUGAUGACACGUCCCCUUUGAUUUGUAGAGCCUCCUGAAUAACACCCUUCCUUGAAGACCCAUUCAGCCUACCACUGAAACGGAAGAUCCUGUUGAGAGAAGCAGUACAGAGAAAGAAUGUACAGACAUUGAGAGCAGGUACAUUUUCAGUACAAAUGGAAUGCUGGCAAUAAGUGAUUGGAAGUACUCACAUUCUUCUUACCCCUUAGAAGUAUGAGAGAUCAAGAUUUUAAAAAUAUGAGCUUUAACUCAUGUUUUUAUUUUAAUAUUUUGAAUAGCAUAACAUUUCCAAUAUGGAAUUUUUAUACUUGUCAGGGAUUCAAAGCAGUGAAUUUUGAGACUCUGAGAUAUUUCCAGUGUCUUAUGUGCUAUUUAGACUUCUGCUAUUUACCUAAAGGAAUGCUGUACUUAGAUGUCAGUUUCUGAAUUAACAUAAGAGACUUCCUGUUAAUGUCAUUACACCGAUGACCUGAAGCCUGAGAUGUUCUAAUAAGCAGACUGUGCAUGCCUGCGUACGGGUGUGUGUGUGCGAGUGUGUUUGUGGCAUCUUUGAUUAUUAAAAACUAUAAUAAUUCAUUCAUAACUGGAAGAUAGUCUUUUAAAAUGGUGGUUUUGAGACUUUUUGGUAUAAAAGGUUUUAAAAAAAAAUAAUUGUGACCAACAUCAUGAACAUCAUUGAGGCUACCAACAUCAUUGGCUGUUUUCCAUUUCAAUACCCUUUUGAAAUCCUUAACUUGUAUUGUGAUGCUCAGAAAUAAUAUGCAGAAUUUUUAUUUGUGUCCUAAAAUAAAAGGUAAGUGGUUCUACCCUUUACAUAUCUUUCUGCCACUUUCUUUUGUGCUCUUUGUAUUCUAUUUUCCAGAUGUAUCCAUAUUGAUAAGGUUAGUUCUGGUUUAAUUCAUUUUACCCUUUUCGUUGUAUUCCCUUAUACCACUCUACCACAUUUAAUUAGACUCUCCUGUUGCUGAAAAAUGAAGAAAGAAAAAGAAAAAAAGAAAAAUAGGAUGGGUGUGGUGGCUGACACCUGUGAUCCUAGCAUUUUGGGAGGCUGAGGUGGGUGGAUCAUGAGGUCAGAAGAUCAAGACCAUCCUAGCCAACAUGGUGAAACCCCAUCUAUUAAAAUAUAAAAAAUUAGCUGGGCAUGGUGGCUUGUGCCCGUAGUCCCAGCUAUAUGGGAGGCUGAGACACAGAAAUCGCUUAAAACUGGGAGGCGGAGGUUGCAGUGAGCCAAAAUUGUGCCACUGCACUCCCGUCUGGUAGCAGAGCAAGACUCUGUCUCAAAAAGAGAAAAGGAAAAAACAAAGUCAGGUUAAAAGGGGCUUUUGUUUAAUCAGUCUGUAUCUGUGAAUAUUUACUAUAUGAGUUUAAGGCUGAGAAGUUCAGAAUGCAAGCAUGCACCGCCGUAUUUUACAAAUGCCCUUAGAAUUAUGACUCAUGAGCCUUUAGCCUAUGAAGUUAUGACAAUUCUUUUCUCUAAAUAAGUUUACUGUUCUCUUUAAAAAAAAAAAAAAAAAAACUGGGAAUAGCAAAUGACACUGUCUUAUUUGACCUCUUAUACAUCCUCGAAUGAAACUGCAACUUACUCAUGUCAAAAUUCAGAACCAGCGUUUUGAGCAAUAUAUAUAGUUUGUGAAUAUCUCGUGAUCAUGAGCCCUUGAUGAUGAAAUGGCCUUUCAAGUUUUACUUUUGCAUUUUUUGCUUUUUCUUGACUUGUCUUACAAAAUUUUAAAUUCAAAACUUCUAUUUCUACAGAAAUCAGGAAUAUAACUUUUAAAUAUAUUUCUGUCCUGUCUCACGGCAUUGAGAGCUCUCAAGAUCUAGUGUGGACCUAGACUUACUUUUACAUGGGAACAAUGAGGUUUGUUUCUUUGUUAUUGCUGUUGAGACAGAGUCUUGUUCUGUGAUGUGGUUCAGAGUGGAUAAGCUCUUAAAGCAGUCAUCUUUCCCGUGGUUCUUUGUGUGGGAGGUAAAGUGGCAGAUGAAUUUGGGCCUUGUUAUACGUAGGGCAGAGCACAUAGCUACAACUAAGUGAAACACCCAGCACCUUCCCCAAGAGUACUGGCCAGAGUAACACAUUAGUAUCUCUUGAGCUCUUCUCCACUGGCAGUUGGAAACUUUUUGCAAGAAUCCCUGUUUCUCAUGUGAUUCCUAUGUUUUGCUGACUUCUGGUGAUAGGGUGUUUUCUCCUAAACUGAGCAGUUCUGCCUGAAGAGCUAGAGAGAAUGUGUUGUGUUAAAAUGAAGUAAGUGCAGUAGUCCCCCAGUGAAUGCCUGAAAGCACAAAUAGUACUGAAUCACUCACUGUUUAUUUUCCUAUACUUACAUAUCUAUGUUAAAGUUUAAUUUAUAAAUUAGGUGCAGUAAGAAAUUCACAACUAAAAAUAAAAUGAAAAAUUAUAGUAAUAUGCUGUAAUAAAAAUUAUUUGAAUGUGGUCUCUUAAAAUGUAUGGCUCUCACCCUUUUUCCUGUGAUAAUGUGACACAAUGCCUGUGUCAUCAGAUGAAAUGAGGUGAAUGAUGUGGGCAUUGUCAUGUAGUGGUAGGCCACUAUUCACCCCCUGACUCUAAGUCAGAAAAAAGAUUAUCAGCUUGGAGUGUUCCUAGACCUUCAGGCCUUAAUAUGUUGAUGGCUGGAUGCAGGAGACCAUGUUGAUGACUAAUGGUGGGACAGCACAUGCAGUGUGAAUGCACUGGACAAAGGAAUGAUUCACAUCCUGGGAUGAUAGAGGACAACAGCUCAAGAUUUUACUGUGCUUCUCAGACUAGGAUACUAACACUUAGGACUUGUUUAUGUCUGGAGUUUUCAAUGUAAUCUGUUUGGAGUACAGUUAACUGUUAGUAGCUAUAACCACAUAAUUCAAAACUGCAGAUGUAAAAUCUGUGUUUGGACCUCGAGUCAUUUCUUGGUGUACAAUUCUUAAAUUCCUUAGAAUUUCCAAAGUGAUGUCUUUUGAUAUGCUAAUGAAUGAAGACUGGAAACUCCUAGAUAGAUUCAGGAUGGGAACUGGUCACCAUCCUGAAGACAUGACUGAUUAGAGGGCUGAGAUCUUCUGUCUCGCUCUGUGAACUCUGUGGAGUAGAGGAGGGCUGAAGGUUGUCAAUCACCAACAGCCAGUGAUUAAUUAGUGAUGCCUAUGAAUUGAAGCUUUCAUAAAGUCCCAAAGGGACUAGGCUUGGAGAGCUUCCAGAUCUCUGAAUACAUGGAGGUUCCUGGAGGGUGGUGUGUCCUGAGAGGGCAUGGAAUCUGUGCCACUAUCCCCAUACUUAGCACUAUGCAUCUCUUCAUCUGUACCUUUCGUAAUGUCAUUCAUAGUACGCUGGUAAGUGUAUUUGCCUGAGUACUUCAACCCAUUCCAGCAAUCCAAUUUAACCCAAAGAGGGAGUCCUGGGAACCCCAAUUUGAAGCUGACUGGUCAAAAGUUCUGGAGUUUCAGACUUAGGACCCACAUAGGUAGGCAGUCUCGUGGGACUGAGCCCUUUACCUGGGGAAUCUGAUGCUAUCUGCAGAGUUUGAGAACUGAGUUAGAUGACACCCAGUUUGUGUCAUCUGCAGAAGUGAUUGCUUGCUAGCUGGUGGGGAAAACCUCUCCACCUGUUUGCUCACAGAAGCCUUCUUUGUUGAUGAUUGUUGCUGUGGUGUGAGAGCAGAGAAAAACGUGGCAAGUGUGUCUUUUUCAACAUACAGCGGAUAAGGGAACUGCCUGCUGUAACUGCUGUAACUGCCCUCUCAUGCCUUGGUCCAGGAAUCAUGCUGUUUGACACUGUCACUUAUUCCACCUGUUCCGCUAACAAUACCAUUUUGAGCCAAUCUCAUAGGAUUUGGCUAGGAUGACGUGUAUACUGCAGUUCACUUGUAGAUAUCAAAUUUUGAUAAAUUUAUUCUUCUUUGUAUUUAAUAAAUAGAAAGGGAAGUAAGAGUUCUUACUGCAUUAAUUACAUGCCGAUAGAUAUAAUUUAUAUUAAUCUAAUAAGGUCCCAGGUAUGCUCUCAAAUGAAUGCUUUGUAACAAAGCAUAAGUACUAUACUUUAAAGAAAAAUGAUUUAAAUCAUGUAAACAACUGUGCAUACUUUUUUUUAAAAAAUAAAGAUCGAGUCUUGCUAUGUUU